rnacentral:rRNA from 1 species
UACGUAGGGGGCUAGCGUUGUCCGGAAUCAUUGGGCGUAAAGCGCGCGUAGGCGGCCCGGUAAGUCCGCUGUGAAAGUCAAAGGCUCAACCUUUGAAUGUCAGCGGAUACUGCCGGGCUAGAGUCCGGAAGAGGCGAGUGGAACUCCUGGUGUAGCGGUGGAAUGCGCAGAUAUCAGGAGGAACACCAAUAGCGAAGGCAGCUCGCUGGGACGGUAUUGACGCUGAGGCGCGAAAGCGUGGGGAGCAAACAGG